UCCGGUUUAUCACCGGCAGUCUCCGAUGAGUCCCCGACAUAACUCGCUGGCAACAUCGGACAGGGGUUGCGCUCGUUGCGCCACUUAAGGCAACACCUCACGGCACGAGCUGACGACAGCCAUGCAGCACCUGUGUUGAGGCUCCCUUUCGGGCACCCUCGCAUCUCUGCGAGGUUCCUCACAUGUCAAGCCCAGGUAAGGUUCUUCGCGUUGCGUCGAAUUAAACCACAUGCUCCACCGCUUGUGCGGGCCCCCGUCAAUUCCUUUGAGUUUCAGCCUUGCGGCCGUACUCCCCAGGCGGGGCACUUAAUGCGUUAGCGCCGGCACCCAGGGGGUCGCUCCCCCAGGCACCUAGUGCCCAUCGUUUACGGCGUGGACUAC
rnacentral:misc_RNA from 1 species